GGAACCCUGCAGAGAGAGACGAGACGAGGGCAUCAUGACGUUCCCCAUCCAUCAGACCAGCGCGUUCAAUCUGAGGAGAGUCUGAGUCUAAAGCCCAUAUGGGGUGAAGCGCUCAGUGAGUCUGCUCUGAUUGACUGCCGCUGUAUGGGACUAUUUCCAUUUUAGACUUUAGCUUGCGGCUUCUCUGCCUUGAUUGGUCCAGGAUAUCAAUCUUUCAUGGCCAGCAUAAGGAUGUACACAAUGCUAUCAUGGGUGACCCACAGAUUCUGCCGCAGUGAAUCCUGCGUGUGUUUGCCGUGUGAACCGGGAGGACUCUUACUCUGGGAAGGUGCCGUGCUCCUGCAGAGAGGAGAGGCAGUAGAGCAGGAUCAUGCAGCUGGUGAGCAGAGUGCCCAGGACCAAGCCCUUGCACAUCGACCUCCAUUGUCUUCCUUGCUUGCCGACCAUGAUCCAAAUUACCUUCAAAGACACGGAACACAAGACAACAUCAGGAGAAGAAGAAGGAGAUUUACACCGACGCACGAUUAUCUUUGCAGAGGUGGGACCUAUGAGGCAGCACUGUUUCUGAAAGAGUAGUGAGCCCAUGGGUACUGCAGGGGUCGGCUCACCAGACACCAUGGCACCAGGCCUCAGAUCUGGAUGUGAUCGAAACACAUUCGGAGAGGAUCUUUCCUGUUUUCUGGAGCAGGGACAGUAUAGAUGAGCCGAGAUGGCGUGCCUUUUGAAACAGUCACUUAAGCCCUACUGGGUUCUCUGUCCACUGGCCCCAGACUGAAUAAUGUAUCUGUGUGUAAAGCGAUCCUGUUCGGGCGCCAGUCGGCCUUCUGGUCUGGUAAUAGGAAGACCUCGUCUCUCGUAACAGAUUCUCCUCCUCAUAACGAUUGAGACCUAAUAUGUCCAAGAGCUUAUGCUGCGACAAAGAAAUAAAUAAAUAUGUUACUGAGACAGAUUAUAGUCUAAAGAUGGUCUAAUACAGGGGUUGGAAAUACUUUUCAAACACAAUUUUUUUCCGCUGUCUGUCUUUCAUUUGAAUGCUCUGAAGUGACAAUGAACCCUUUAUAGAUUGUAUAUGGUACUAAGAAAAUAACCAAUUAUUGAGAAAUGGUCCUGUGUUUUAACAUGCAUUCAGUGGAAAGCUAAUUGCUUUCUGCAUACAUGCUUCUCUUGGGAAUCAAACCUGCGUCAGGCAGGUGUCAGGUAUAAAUGAUAUUCUACCACUCCCUUCAGCUGACAUUGCUAACCUUUGGCAUAUCAUUCAGUAGUCAUGAUAAAUGGAUUCAGAUUUAGCAUUUCAAUGAUGAUGACCUUAUAAAUAAUGAAACACUGCUAU